UACAGAGGUGGCAAGCGUUGUUCGGAAUUACUGGGCGUAAAGGGCGCGUAGGCGGUCUUAUAAGUCUCGUGUGAAAUCCCUCGGCUUAACUGAGGAACUGCACGGGAUACUGCAAGACUUGAGAUCGGGAGAGGGAAGCGGAAUUCCGGGUGUAGCGGUGAAAUGCGCAGAAUAUCAGGAGGAACACCGGUGGCGAAGGCGGGUCUCUGGGUAGUAACUGGACGCUGGAGGAGCGAAAGCG
rnacentral:rRNA from 1 species